rnacentral:rRNA from 1 species
UACAGAGGGUGCGAGCGUUGUCCGGAAUCACUGGGCGUAAAGGGCGCGUAGGUGGCGCCGCAAGUCGGUGGUGAAAGCUCGAUGCUUAACAUCGAGUCGGCCAUCGAAACUGCGGGGCUUGAGCACUGUAGGGGCAGAUGGAAUUCCGGGUGUAGCGGUGGAAUGCGUAGAGAUCCGGAAGAACACCUGGGGCGAAGGCGGCCAGCUGGGCCGUCCCUGACGCUGAGGCGCGAAGGCGUGGGGAGCGAACGGG